CUCUUUUGCUUAUUUAUGAUAGAUUUUACAGUGUUUUUGAUGCAAAAUUGUCUUACAGGAUGCAUGGGUUAAUAAUCAUUUUGAAUCAUUUACUACUCUAUAACCAGCCUUGUAGUAUGGUAGUGUAUUCUGAUAGUACCUUGGUUUAAUAAUGAAUGAACUUUGUUAAUCUAAUCCUGGGUAAUUCAGGAAACAGAAUGUCUUCCUCUUAAUGUCUUUUUCUGAUAAUGAUGGAGAUUUAUACUGAUGAAAUUGCUUCCAUGGAAGAUGAAGUACUUCUGAUGGCUGCUUUCAAUCAUUGGAGAGACUACAGAAGCACAAGGCUCCUCCUGGAGAAUGAAGCAGGCAUACUGCUGUCAAGGGCAAAGGAUCAGGCUGUGUUCACACGGCAGCUUCUCAUGGGGAGAACCCAAGGUUUAAAGAAGAGGAACUUUUUUCUCCUCCUGUGUCUUUCUGCAACAAAUUGACAACCCACCAUACGGCUCAUUCGAUGAGAUAUGAUUGGUCCAAGGCAGUGAAUACUAGGACUCAACCUCUCACCUUCCCUUUCAAGAGGAGGAACCAGGUCUCUUCAGAACAAGUGAUGUCUCUUUGGAAGCUACGCAAAGAAAAUUCCAGCUUCACUUGUGUCAAAUUUGAUAUUUUUGUUUUUCCGCCUGAUGGGGUUUUAAACUUUCUUUAAAUAUAGUAAAUAAAUAGUAUCUUUAAAAAAAUUAAAGAAAAACA
rnacentral:lncRNA from 1 species